rnacentral:rRNA from 1 species
GGGUUGUGAGGUUAAGCGACUAAGCGUACACGGUGGAUGCCCUGGCAGUCAGAGGCGAUGAAGGACGUGCUAAUCUGCGAUAAGCGUCGGUAAGGUGAUAUGAACCGUUAUAACCGGCGAUUUCCGAAUGGGGAAACCCAGUGUGAUUCGUCACACUAUCAUUAACUGAAUCCAUAGGUUAAUGAGGCGAACCGGGGGAACUGAACAUCUAAGUACCCCGAGGAAAAGAAAUCAACCGAGAUUCCCCCAGUAGCGGCGAGCGAACGGGAGGAGCCCAGAGCCUGAAUCAGUGUGUGUGUUAGUGGAAGCGUCUGGAAAGGCGCGCGAUACAGGGUGACAGCCCCGUACACAAAAUGCACAUGCUGUGAGCUCGAUGAGUAGGGCGGGACACGUGGUAUCCUGUCUGAAUAUGGGGGGACCAUCCUCCAAGGCUAAAUACUCCUGACUGACCGAUAGUGAACCAGUACCGUGAGGGAAAGGCGAAAAGAACCCCGGCGAGGGGAGUGAAAAGAACCUGAAACCGUGUACGUACAAGCAGUGGGAGCACGCUUCGGCGUGUGACUGCGUACCUUUUGUAUAAUGGGUCAGCGACUUAUAUUCUGUAGCAAGGUUAACCGAAUAGGGGAGCCGAAGGGAAACCGAGUCUUAACUGGGCGUUAAGUUGCAGGGUAUAGACCCGAAACCCGGUGAUCUAGCCAUGGGCAGGUUGAAGGUUGGGUAACACUAACUGGAGGACCGAACCGACUAAUGUUGAAAAAUUAGCGGAUGACUUGUGGCUGGGGGUGAAAGGCCAAUCAAACCGGGAGAUAGCUGGUUCUCCCCGAAAGCUAUUUAGGUAGCGCCUCGUGAAUUCAUCUCCGGGGGUAGAGCACUGUUUCGGCAAGGGGGUCAUCCCGACUUACCAACCCGAUGCAAACUGCGAAUACCGGAGAAUGUUAUCACGGGAGACACACGGCGGGUGCUAACGUCCGUCGUGAAGAGGGAAACAACCCAGACCGCCAGCUAAGGUCCCAAAGUCAUGGUUAAGUGGGAAACGAUGUGGGAAGGCCCAGACAGCCAGGAUGUUGGCUUAGAAGCAGCCAUCAUUUAAAGAAAGCGUAAUAGCUCACUGGUCGAGUCGGCCUGCGCGGAAGAUGUAACGGGGCUAAACCAUGCACCGAAGCUGCGGCAGCGACACUAUGUGUUGUUGGGUAGGGGAGCGUUCUGUAAGCCUGCGAAGGUGGCCUGUGAGGGUUGCUGGAGGUAUCAGAAGUGCGAAUGCUGACAUAAGUAACGAUAAGCGGGUGAAAAGCCCGCUCGCCGGAAGACCAAGGGUUCCUGUCCAACGUUAAUCGGGGCAGGGUGAGUCGACCCCUAAGGCGAGGCCGAAAGGCGUAGUCGAUGGGAAACAGGUUAAUAUUCCUGUACUUGGUGUUACUGCGAAGGGGGGACGGAGAAGGCUAUGUUGGCCGGGCGACGGUUGUCCCGGUUUAAGCGUGUAGGCUGGUUUUCCAGGCAAAUCCGGAAAAUCAAGGCUGAGGCGUGAUGACGAGGCACUACGGUGCUGAAGCAACAAAUGCCCUGCUUCCAGGAAAAGCCUCUAAGCAUCAGGUAACAUCAAAUCGUACCCCAAACCGACACAGGUGGUCAGGUAGAGAAUACCAAGGCGCUUGAGAGAACUCGGGUGAAGGAACUAGGCAAAAUGGUGCCGUAACUUCGGGAGAAGGCACGCUGAUACGUAGGUGAAGUCCCUCGCGGAUGGAGCUGAAAUCAGUCGAAGAUACCAGCUGGCUGCAACUGUUUAUUAAAAACACAGCACUGUGCAAACACGAAAGUGGACGUAUACGGUGUGACGCCUGCCCGGUGCCGGAAGGUUAAUUGAUGGGGUUAGCGGUAACGCGAAGCUCUUGAUCGAAGCCCCGGUAAACGGCGGCCGUAACUAUAACGGUCCUAAGGUAGCGAAAUUCCUUGUCGGGUAAGUUCCGACCUGCACGAAUGGCGUAAUGAUGGCCAGGCUGUCUCCACCCGAGACUCAGUGAAAUUGAACUCGCUGUGAAGAUGCAGUGUACCCGCGGCAAGACGGAAAGACCCCGUGAACCUUUACUAUAGCUUGACACUGAACAUUGAGCCUUGAUGUGUAGGAUAGGUGGGAGGCUUUGAAGUGUGGACGCCAGUCUGCAUGGAGCCGACCUUGAAAUACCACCCUUUAAUGUUUGAUGUUCUAACGUUGACCCGUUAUCCGGGUUGCGGACAGUGUCUGGUGGGUAGUUUGACUGGGGCGGUCUCCUCCUAAAGAGUAACGGAGGAGCACGAAGGUUGGCUAAUCCUGGUCGGACAUCAGGAGGUUAGUGCAAUGGCAUAAGCCAGCUUGACUGCGAGCGUGACGGCGCGAGCAGGUGCGAAAGCAGGUCAUAGUGAUCCGGUGGUUCUGAAUGGAAGGGCCAUCGCUCAACGGAUAAAAGGUACUCCGGGGAUAACAGGCUGAUACCGCCCAAGAGUUCAUAUCGACGGCGGUGUUUGGCACCUCGAUGUCGGCUCAUCACAUCCUGGGGCUGAAGUAGGUCCCAAGGGUAUGGCUGUUCGCCAUUUAAAGUGGUACGCGAGCUGGGUUUAGAACGUCGUGAGACAGUUCGGUCCCUAUCUGCCGUGGGCGCUGGAGAACUGAGGGGGGCUGCUCCUAGUACGAGAGGACCGGAGUGGACGCAUCACUGGUGUUCGGGUUGUCAUGCCAAUGGCACUGCCCGGUAGCUAAAUGCGGAAGAGAUAAGUGCUGAAAGCAUCUAAGCACGAAACUUGCCCCGAGAUGAGUUCUCCCUGACUCCCUGAGAGUCCUGAAGGAACGUUGAAGACGACGACGUUGAUAGGCCGGGUGUGUAAGCGCAGCGAUGCGUUGAGCUAACCGGUACUAAUGAACCGUGAGGCUUAACCUUACAACGCCGAAG